rnacentral:rRNA from 1 species
GACGGAGGGCGCAAGCGUUAAUCGGAUUCAUUGGGCGUAAAGGGCGCGUAGGCGGAAAUGUAAGUCAGAUGUGAAAUCCCGGGGCUCAACUCCGGAACGGCAUUUGAAACUACAUUCCUUGAGGGUAGGCGGAGAAAACGGAAUUCCACGUGUAGCGGUGAAAUGCGUAGAUAUGUGGAAGAACACCAGUGGCGAAGGCGGUUUUCUAGCUUAUUCCUGACGCUGAGGCGCGAAAGCAAGGGGAUCAAACAGG